AACGAACGCUGGCGGCAGGCUUAACACAUGCAAGUCGAACGGGUGCAGCAAUGCAUCAGUGGCAGACGGGUGAGUAACACGUGGGAACCUUCCUAGGGGUACGGAACAACUCAGGGAAACUUGAGCUAAUACCGUAUACGUCCGUGAGGAGAAAGAUUUAUCGCCCUUAGACGGGCCCGCGUCGGAUUAGCUAGUUGGUGGGGUAACGGCCUACCAAGGCGACGAUCCGUAGCUGAUCUUAGAGGAUGAUCAGCCACACUGGGACUGAGACACGGCCCAGACUCCUACGGGAGGCAGCAGUGGGGAAUCUUGGACAAUGGGCGCAAGCCUGAACCAGCCAUGCCGCGUGAGUGAAGAAGGUCUUCGGAUUGUAAAGCUCUUUUGCCAGGGACGAUAAUGACGGUACCUGGAGAAUAAGCCCCGGCAAACUUCGUGCCAGCAGCCGCCGUAAUAC
rnacentral:rRNA from 1 species